UUUAUCAACAUAUUAGAAAGAUUAUUUUGAAGAAAAGAUUCUUGAAUUGGGUUUAGGAAUUUAACCC